rnacentral:rRNA from 1 species
UAUCUCUGUAGAGUCUGCAUAUCAAUAAGCGGAGGAAAAGAAACUAACAAGGAUUCCCUUAGUAACGGCGAGUGAAGCGGGAAGAGCUCAAAUUUGAAAUCUUCAAGGUUUUACCUUGACGAAUUGUAGUUUAAAGAAGUGUUUUCUGUUGAAGUUUCGGUAAAAGUUCUUUGGAAUAGGACAUCAUAGAGGGUGAGAAUCCCGUAUUUGACCGUUAUUUUCAGCUGUGUGAUACACCUUCAAAGAGUCGGAUUGUUUGGGAAUGCAGUCCAAAAUGGGUGGUAAAUUUCAUCUAAAGCUAAAUAUUGGCGAGAGACCGAUAGCGAACAAGUACCGUGAGGGAAAGAUGAAAAGAACCUUGAAAAGAGAGUUAAACAGUACGUGAAAUUGUCAAAAGGGAAGCGUUUGACACCAGUGUUGUUUUCUCGAAAAUCAAUUAAAAAUGGCUUGAUUUUGUGUUGUAUUGACCUUAAAAGCUUUCUUCACUUUUUUCAUGUCUUUUUUAAUGCACUUUUCGUUUAACAAGUCAACAUCAGUUUCUUUUGUUGUAAAGAGGUCAUUGGAAGGUGGCUUUCUUUUCGGAGAAAGUGUUUAUAGCCUUUGACUUCUGCAAUCGGAGAGACUGAGGUCUGCAGCGUAGAUCCUUCUGGAUUAGAUUCAUUUGUGCUAAGUUACAACCGUUUAUAGACAACUUGUUGACUAUAUUCGAUCCUGUAGCUUACUCGCUUAUGUAAUUUUACCUACGCUUAGGAUGUUGAAGAUGUAGCACAUCAU